GAGCGAACGCUGGCGGCAGGCCUACCACAUGCAAGUCGAACGAACCUUUCGGGGUUAGUGGCGGACGGGUGAGUAACACGUGGGAACGUGCCUUUAGGUUCGGAAUAACUCAGGGAAACUUGUGCUAAUACCGAAUGUGCCCUUCGGGGGAAAGAUUAAUCGCCUUUAGAGCGGCCCGCGUCUGAUUAGCUAGUUGGUUGAGGUAAUGGCUCACCAAGGCGACGAUCAGUAGCUGGUCUGAGAGGAUGAUCAGCCACAUUGGGACUGAGACACGGCCCAAACUCCUACGGGAGGCAGCAGUGGGGAAUCUUGCGCAAUGGGCGAAAGCCUGACGCAGCCAUGCCGCGUGAAUGAUGAAGGUCUUAGGAUUGUAAAAUUCUUUCACCGGGGACGAUAAUGACGGUACCCGGAGAAGAAGCCCCGGCUAACUUCGUG
rnacentral:rRNA from 1 species